UACGUAGGGUGCAAGCGUUGUCCGGAAUUAUUGGGCGUAAAGAGCUCGUAGGCGGCUUGUCACGUCUGCUGUGAAAACUCGGGGCUCAACCCCGAGCCUGCAGUGGAUACGGGCUAGCUAGAGUGCGGUAGGGGAGACUGGAAUUCCUGGUGUAGCGGUGAAAUGCGCAGAUAUCAGGAGGAACACCGGUGGCGAAGGCGGCAUCCUGGACCGGCAUUGACGCUGAGGCGCGAAAGCCAGGGGAGCAAACGGG
rnacentral:rRNA from 1 species